rnacentral:rRNA from 1 species
UACGGGGGGAGCAAGCGUUGUUCGGAUUUACUGGGCGUAAAGGGCGCGUAGGCGGCCACCGCAAGUCGACUGUGAAAUCUCCGGGCUUAACCCGGAACGGUCAGCCGAUACUGCGGGGCUAGAGUGCAGAAGGGGCAACUGGAAUUCUUGGUGUAGCAGUGAAAUGCGUAGAUAUCAAGAGGAACACCAGUGGCGAAGGCGAGUCCCUGGACAACACCUGACACUGAGGCACGAAAGCCGGGGGAGCAAACAGG